rnacentral:rRNA from 1 species
CCUACGGGUGGCUGCAGUGGGGAAUAUUGCGCAAUGGGCGAAAGCCUGACGCAGCGACGCCGCGUGAGGGAUGAAGGUCUUCGGAUCGUAAACCUCUGUCAGCAGGGAAGAACGGUCACUGUGCUAAUCAGCAGUGAAUUGACGGUACCUGCAAAGGAAGCACCGGCUAACUCCGUGCCAGCAGCCGCGGUAAUACAGAGGGUGCGAGCGUUAAUCGGAAUUACUGGGCGUAAAGCGCUCGUAGGCGGUAUGUCAAGUCAAGGGUGAAAUCCCCGCGCUCAACGGGGGAACUGCCUUUGAAACUGGGAGGCGGGAGUGUGGAGGAGGUAGGUGGAAUUCGAGGUGUAGGGGUGAAAUGCUUAGAUAUCAGGAAGAACAGCGAUGGCGAAGGCGGCCAACGGUAGCGUAACUGACGCUGAGGCGCGAAGGCGUGGGUAGCGAACAGGAUUAGAUACCCGGGUAGUC